rnacentral:snoRNA from 1 species
CUUUCUACUUCUGGCAUCUGUCUUCUGUCAGAAGCCAGAAGAUAGAAGACAGAAGAUAGAAGUCUUCUAUCUUCUGGCUUCUGACAUCUGGCUGCUAGCUUUUGGCUUCUGACUUC